rnacentral:lncRNA from 1 species
UUUGUACUCUGAACUUCGGACACAUAAUAAUUUUUAUUUUUAUUUCAGAGAGAGAUUGAGAGAGGGAGAGAGAGAACAAAUUAAAAUGCUUUUAAAAGCUGGCUGGGGGUGGCAUAGACCUGCAAUCCCAGAAACAGUAAAACCGUUUAAGGCCUGUCUGAACAACUAGUACGAACCCUCUGUUUCAAAACUUAAAAAAACAUGGGGCUGGGGAUUUAGCUCAGUGGUGUGCACACACAUGCACACACACGCACACACACGUACACACACGCGUGCACACACACGCGUACACGUACACACACGCACACAGGCACACACACACGCACACACACAGCGCCUCAGAGACUCAGAGGUGGGAAGCAGCUGAUGAGCAGAACGCUCACAAAGUGCUUGGAGGAGGGGGCAUGGCAAGGGCUGUAGCACCCAUUAAGGCUGAGGUCACAUCUGGGUGACUGAGGGACAGACAGACAAAUAUUAAUAACACAACCUGGCAGAGACAGGACCCCACCAGGCUGACCAAAGGGAAGGGGAGCUGGCGGUCUCACAGGAGCUAAGGCCCCUCCGGGCUCUGAGGAUUCUUUCUUUCCUCUUCAGUUAUGAACCCUGGGUGCCCAGAAGACCCACUUGGUCACUGGCUGAGCCAAAGUUGAUGUCUGUGAGCUCCUAGGGCUAGAGGCCAGGCACCAAGCCUUGGGUCACCACCUGCCACCUGAGGUGACAUGGCAGCACCAGAAGCUGAUGGGAAAGAUCAAAUGCAGACUUUGUAGAGGGUUUACAGGCAGAAUCCUGGCCAGUGGCAUCAACCGUUAAAAGAAAGCUUGGGUAAGCCCUAGGCUCCAGGACCAGGGCUUUCUGAUGUCCCUGUCAAAGCCUUCCCUUGAGCAAGGCCCCAGACAGCCAGGGCUCCACAGUGCCCCUGUCCGGCUGGGUUUCUCCCAACGUCAUUUCCUCUGUGGUAUUUGGUAGGUUAUUUUCUCCUCCGCCGGAAACACAUUCCUAGAAUUUCCGAUCCAUUUCAGAAGCCAGGCGAUCAUUACCGCUGCGUGCUGACAGUGCACAAAUUGGCUGUAAUGUCUUCACAG